ACUGGGACAUGGCAAGUAUUAUAUAAAUAAGUACAUGAUGAAGCUUGAGAGGUGGAACAAAGUGGAUGCUUUGUGGAAAAGGAAUUGAGGGACUGCGAAAGUAGAAAUAACGCGAGUUCUUUGAUGAAAUGGAGAUCACAUGAAUUUUGCAGCAACAUAUGUUCUUAAGUGUUUCAUAGCUGAGUCAACUAUUAAGUCAAUAAGGCAUUUUGAAAGUGGAACAUUCCAGUUAUUGUUUUUUCUAGGUCUCAGAGUUGGGGCCCUAAGAAAGUAAACUCCAGACACAAACAUAUUUGUAGAAGCUGAAGGAGAAGGACUGAAAAGUUUUUGAGCAAGAGAGGAAAGCCUGAAAAUGUCAAGACCUAAUAAAUAGAGAGUUAUGGAUACCUAAGUAGGUGCCAACAAUGGGAGAGAAGAUGACCAUGUUUGGUUGGUUAGAAAAAAAGGACAAAUUUCAUAUACUUCAGAAUUUUACA